UGCCAGACUCCUACGGGAGGCAGCAGUGGGGAAUAUUGCACAAUGGGGGAAACCCUGAUGCAGCGACGCCGCGUGAGUGAAGAAGUAUCUCGGUAUGUAAAGCUCUAUCAGCAGGGAAGAAAAUGACGGUACCUGACUAAGAAGCCCCGGCUAACUACGUGCCAGCAGCCGCGGUAAUACGUAGGGGGCAAGCGUUAUCCGGAUUUACUGGGUGUAAAGGGAGCGUAGACGGCGCUGCAAGUCCGGAGUGAAGGCCCAUGGCUUAACCAUGGUACUGCUCUGGAAACUGCGUCGCUGGAGUACGGGAGGGGCAGGCGGAAUUCCUGGUGUAGCGGUGAAAUGCGUAGAUAUCAGGAGGAACACCGGCGGCGAAGGCGGCCUGCUGGACUGCAACUGACGUUGAGGCCCGAAAGCGUGGGGAGCAAACAGGAUUAGAUACCCUCGUA
rnacentral:rRNA from 1 species